rnacentral:rRNA from 1 species
UUGUCCGGAUUUAUUGGGCGUAAAGAGCGUGUAGGCGGCCAGAUAGGUCUGCUGUGAAAACUCGAGGCUCAACCUCGAGACGCCGGUGGAAACCGUCUGGCUAGAGUCCGGAAGAGGAGAGUGGAAUUCCUGGUGUAGCGGUGAAAUGCGCAGAUAUCAGGAAGAACACCCGUGGCUAAGGCGGCUCUCUAGUACGGUACUGACGCUGAGACGCGAAAGCGUGGGGAGCGAACAGG